rnacentral:rRNA from 1 species
UACGUAGGGUGCGAGCGUUGUCCGGAAUUACUGGGCGUAAAGAGCUCGUAGGUGGUUUGUCGCGUUGUUCGUGAAAACUCACAGCUCAACUGUGGGCGUGCGGGCGAUACGGGCAGACUGGAGUACUGCAGGGGAGACUGGAAUUCCUGGUGUAGCGGUGGAAUGCGCAGAUAUCAGGAGGAACACCGGUGGCGAAGGCGGGUUGCUGGG